rnacentral:tRNA from 1 species
UAGGAAAUGGUGUAGUGGAAGCACUGAAAGUUUUGAUCUUUCUAGGUAGGGUUCGAGCCCCUUUUUUCUAA